ACUCAAAUGAAUUGACGGGGGCUCGCACAAGCGGUGGAGCAUGUGGUUUAAUUCGAUGCAACGCGACGAACCUUACCUACUCUUGAAUCUUCGGAAUUUGUCAGAGAUGACGAAGUGCCUUCGGGAACCGAAAGACAGGUGCUGCAUGGCUGUCGUCAGCUCGUGUCGUGAGAUGUUGGGUUAAGUCCCGUAACGAGCGCAACCCUUAUCCUUAGUUACCAGCGAGUAAAGUCGGGGACUCUAGGGAGACUGCCAGUGAUAAACUGGAGGAAGGCGAGGACGACGUCAAGUCAUCAUGGCUUUUACGAGUAGGGCUACACACGUGCUACAAUGGUCGGUACAAAAGGCAGCGAAGUCGCGAGAUGGAGCGAAUCCUCUAAAGCCGAUCUCAGUCCGGAUUGGAGUCUGCAACUCGACUCCAUGAAGCUGGAAUCGCUAGUAAUCGUGGAUCAGAACGCCACGGUGAAUACGUUCUCGGGCCUUGUACACACCGCCCGU
rnacentral:rRNA from 1 species